GAUGAACGCUAGCGACAGGCCUAACACAUGCAAGUCGAGGGGCAGCAUGAAAUUAGCUUGCUAAUUUUGAUGGCGACCGGCGCACGGGUGAGUAACACGUAUGCAGCCUGCCUGUAAGCGGGGGAUAACCCGGAGAAAUUCGGACUAAUACCGCAUAAUAUCAUUAAUUCGCAUGCUUUAAUGAUUAAAAAUUUAUUGCUUGCAGAUGGGCAUGCGUAUGAUUAGCUAGUUGGCGGGGUAACGGCCCACCAAGGCGACGAUCAUUAGGGGUUCUGAGAGGAAGGUCCCCCACAUUGGAACUGAGACACGGUCCAAACUCCUACGGGAGGCAGCAGUGAGGAAUAUUGGUCAAUGGAUGAGAGUCUGAACCAGCCAUGUCGCGUGAAGGAUGACUGUCCUAUGGAUUGUAAACUUCUUUUAUAUGGGGAUAAAGUGUGAGACUUGUCUCAUUUUGCAUGUACCAUAUGAAUAAGCAUCGGCUAACUACGUGCCAGCCGCCGCCGUAAUAC
rnacentral:rRNA from 1 species